ACCUCGACAUGAUGUGCAAAGCGAGACGAGUUCAAACGUAACCGGAUGGUUUUGAAGCGUGAAAGGGGCUCUAUUCAAAGAGUGACCUCAACGGCACAUGAGCCGGAGGAAAGACUUUGGGAUUUACGAGGGAGAAACACGGGGUAAUUUCUCUCAUGUUCUGCCUUUGUAAACCUUGAUUCCCUCAAGACAAAAUGAGUCGACAAGAUGGUCUAUUACCGAAGAUUUGCAAGCAAUACUGCAAGCCUGGAUACCCGAAUUGCUCAGAAGGUUAUGUACGGCAACCAUGUGAUACAUGGAAAGCUUUGUCAUCAUCGUCAUCAUCAUCUCCAUGGUCAUCAUCAUCAACAUUGUCGCCAUCAUCAUCACCAUCAACUUCCCCACUGAAAGAACCGCUUUCUUCAGCAAGCUUUGCAGGUAUCCCAAGUGCCUCUGUGUCCAGUGUCAUAGAUAUCAGGCAGUUGAUCAAAACUCCACUCUCCAUAAGUGUGAAACACCGCAUAAAUAUGCUUACAUGGGAAGUAGCACUUGAGCAGCAAGGGGUUUGGAGGUUCACUGUGUACAGCCAGUUGGCAUCCUUGGAUGCUUUCACUUGAAAUUCUCCUUUAACGACGUCAACACAAUGUAUAUCCUGCAAGGGGUUUGGAGGUUCACUGUGUACAGCCAGUUGGCGUCCUUGGAUGCUUUCACUUGAAAUUCUCCUUUAACGACGUCAAUACAAUGUAUAUCCUGCAAGGGGUUUGGAGGUUCACUGUGUACAGCCAGUUGGCGUCCUUGGAUGCUUUCACUUGAAAUUCUCCUUUAACGACGUCAACACAAUGUAUAUCCUUCAAGGGGUUUGGAGGUUCACUGUGUACAGCCAGUUGGCGUCCUUGGAUGCUUUCACUUGAAAUUCUCCUUUAACGACGUCAACACAAUGUAUAUCCUGCAAGGGGUUUGAAGGUUCACUGUGUACAGCCUGUUGGCGUCCUUGGAUGCUUUCACUUGAAAUUCUCCUUUAACGACGUCAACACAAUGUAUAUCCUUCAAGGGGUUUGGAGGUUCACUGUGUACAGCCAGUUGGCGUCCUUGGAUGCUUUCACUUGAAAUUCUCCUUUAACGACGUCAACACAAUGUAUAUCCUGCAAGGGGUUUGAAGGUUCACUGUGUACAGCCUGUUGGCGUCCUUGGAUGCUUUCACUUGAAAUUCUCCUUUAACGACGUCAACACAAUGUAUAUCCUGCAAGGGGUUUGGAGGUUCACUGUGUACAGCCUGUUGGCGUCCUUGGAUGCUUUCACUUGAAAUUCCCCUUUAACGACGUCAACACAAUGUAUAUCCUGCAAGGGGUUUGGAGGUUCACUGUGUACAGCCAGUUGGCGUCCUUGGAUGCUUUCACUUGAAAUUCUCCUUUAACGACGUCAACACAAUGUAUAUCCUGCAAGGGGUUUGGAGGUUCACUCUGUACAGCCUGUUGGCGUCCUUGGAUGCUUUCACUUGAAAUUCUCCUUUAACGACGUCAAUACAAUGUAUAUCCUGCAAGGGGUUUGAAGGUUCACUGUGUACAGCCUGUUGGCGUCCUUGGAUGCUUUCACUUGAAAUUCUCCUUUAACGACGUCAACACAAUGUAUAUCCUGCAAGGGGUUUGGAGGUUCACUGUGUACAGCCUGUUGGCGUCCUUGGAUGCUUUCACUUGAAAUUCCCCUUUAACGACGUCAACACAAUGUAUAUCCUGCAAGGGGUUUGGAGGUUCACUGUGUACAGCCAGUUGGCGUCCUUGGAUGCUUUCACUUGAAAUUCUCCUUUAACGACGUCAACACAAUGUAUAUCCUGCAAGGGGUUUGGAGGUUCACUCUGUACAGCCUGUUGGCGUCCUUGGAUGCUUUCACUUGAAAUUCUCCUUUAACGACGUCAAUACAAUGUAUAUCCUGCAAGGGGUUUGAAGGUUCACUGUGUACAGCCUGUUGGCGUCCUUGGAUGCUUUCACUUGAAAUUCUCCUUUAACGACGUCAACACAAUGUAUAUCCUCCAAGGGGUUUGAAGGUUCACUCUGUACAGCCUGUUGGCGUCCUUGGAUGCUUUCACUUGAAAUUCUCCUUUAACGACGUUGUUGGUGUUGACAAUGUUGAGAACCUGUUCUCUCAGAAUAGCUGUGCCCACCUCCGUACGCACGACAUCCAGGUCUUUUCUACAUAUAUCUUCACAGCUUGGUUGGCGUUGUACACUGGGGACCUCCUCAAGUCUGCAACUGCCCCACCGUAUUGGGCGAGCUGACGUGAAUCCGCCACCCUUUUCAGCAGGGAGAACAGCGCUGCUUGCGCAGCAGGAUUUAGACCGCUCUUCGGGAGCCAGUGCCACCGCACAUCCGGUGAUCAUGAAACGGCAGGCUUAGGUAUGGUAUGGACUUGAGCUCACACAAAAAAAUGUUCGCUAAACCAUGUUUCUCGUUUUGAUUAAACUACUCGAGAUCCUUUAGAAUCAACUAUCUUAAAUCCAUAACGCACUGAACCUAAAGAAAAGGGGACGUCUACUUACCAUUAUCCGAGAAGCGCUUAUUGCCCUUCACUUGGAAUUGUGCUCUAAUGAAAGAAGUUGUAGAAAUGCAAAACAAUUCCCCAAACACAGCCUCCAUGGUCUCUCCAUUAGAUGCGUCAUAAAUCCUGUAUAAGUAGUCGUCUUCUUGCUUGAUUGUGGUAAAGUUUUCAAACAAAAUGUCUUUCUCACAUUGAAUAAUAUCGCUUUGGUCUUGAGAUGUGUCCGUCAUUGUAAGGGUUCUAAGGAAAAACGUGAAAGGUGCCGGGUUUUUUUACUUGUCCAGCUGUAAAGCUGGAAAGGAUAUGACGUUUGUUUCCUUCACCCCCAUCCAACGCCUAAAUAUUCCAUCUCAAUCUGGAACGGAAAUGACCGUUUUUUUUUUUCCUUACCCUUCCCAAACACCAAACUCGGGACCAAACCAGGUGAGUGCACAGUGGGGUCAUUUCUUAUUCUUAUCCAACGAUCGUCAAAUACUAUUCUUUUCCUAUGAUACCAUGGCUGUGCACCCCCUCCCCCCGCCCCUCUCAGCCAAUCCUGGGUACGCGCCUGCAAACUAUUCCAAACCCCCUAUUCCUUACACAACCAAAAGUUUACUGAACCAAAAGUUUACGGUCUUUAUAAUGAUUACCAGAGAUAUGAUUACCAGAGAUAAAACGCAAAAACAAUGAACGCGCGCUUUCCUAGCCGAGAUUGGGAGACUAUGUUCUUGCUCAUUGACUUUUAUAAUCUGCGUGAUGACAUAUAAAGCAACAAACACUAAU